CCCUCCAGAGGGAGGGACGGAGGACGCGUCGGGUCUCCUCCCGGGUCCCGCUUUCCCAAGGGUGCAAUUCUGGGAAAGUGCAUCUUUGAAAAAGAUACGGGCGUGUGAGUGCGACUGCCCGCACAGCGCGUCCGUGUCAAAGAAAAGAACUUCAUUCGAAAGUCGCGGGCCCCCCAGCCCCCAAAAAGUAAAGCAAAAGGCGAGGAUGUUCUCCGAGAAGCAGAAGGAAGUUCGUGCAAGGUCAAUGACAGUCCUCAAUUGACCCCACUGGAAAAAUCCCUGCUCUUCCAUUUAACUUUUUAAAAAAAUAUCUGUUGCAUAAUAAAACCGCUUCCGAUAAAUGGAAGAGCACCGAAUAGUUUCACUUUUGUUACUAGGAAAGUUGCUCAGUUCGCGGAGUUGUGUUGUGGACGCUCUCUCAACUUCAAGGCAAGGAAUGGAGCGUUUUGUACUUUUAAUGCUCUUGGUGGUGUGGAAAAGGUGCCCAUUAAAAGCUACACCUUUGAAGUAGUGAUGAGCGCUGGUUUAAACGUCCGGCACGGUGUGCGUGGGGGCAACGAAAUACCUCGAGGGCAACAUACACGGAAGAAAUCUGUGGGUGGCCAAGGGUGCCCUCAUCUCGAUUGAGCAGGAAUUUUUCAGUGUCUCGAGGGGAAAUAGCGAUCGUGCUCCAGGUGGGAACAGGACUUAUUGCAAGUAUUCCUAUCGCAUCAUCCAUUUUUCUGUGAAACAGUGGUAUGAACAUCAUGGAAUUGGUCUGGUGCAGCUUCUACGUGAGCCUUUCUCCCAAAUUAGCCUGCUCUUUUGCACUGGGGAGGCGGUUGCUGUAGAACUUAAGUGCAAGAUGGCCUAGGGAUAAUUUCAGUAUCAGAGUGGAGAGGAAAUAAUUUGAAUAUUUUUACACACACUGCUACCAGAUCUGAUGAACACUGAAAGCAUUGCUGUACCUCUGAGUUGCCCAAGUUGUGAUGGCUCAAGAGGGCUGAAAGUGGAGCAUGUUGGUCUAAAUAUGAGAAAUAAGAUACGAACAAACAAGUCUUGGAGCUCCAUGAAUGAUAGUUGUGACUCUACUGUUGAUCUCUUUCUUAUGUGUUUCAGGUCCUUGGGGGUGGGGUGGGCUGUCUGUCUUUUGCAUCUUAGAAGCUCAAGCCUGUUUGUGUUGGGUUUACUCUCCAGAAGCAGCAGCGACGCAGCAGACCGCUCUUCCAGUGUAAGUGCCGUAGGAGGAGGAGGAACUCCCAUAAGACCGGAACAUCAGCUACUAACAAUCAUGCACGUCUGUGACUACUGCCGAAAAGCAGACUUGACAUCUCAGUUGCUCUUUCCCUCAAGGAUGUAUGAAAGACUUGAAACAAAACACAUUGGCUUCAGUUUUAAGUACGUUAUGUUUUCACCGGGAUAUCUACGCUAGGGAAGGGGAUGUAAUUAGCAAGACAUGCUUGGAUCUCACGUUCUUCUGGCAGAAUAAUUCAGUGAUAUGGAAUGAUGACAAGACCAAGGUUUGUGUGGGAUGAUCAUAAACAUAUAGCAGUAGAUAGGAGGAACUGACAGCCAUUGCCAAAAGAAAAAGAAGUAUUUCUGAAAAUGUCCAUAGUUGAGAUUGUACUGAAUCCAAGCAUGCCUCCUGUCUUGUUACACAGUGAGUGAGCGAACAAAGUAGAUACUGUAUGUUAACAGGAAAAACUACAAGUGAGAAGGGGAAUUCCAUAGUCUUUAGUCUUUUGAGUAUCAAUCAUCACCAUUCUUUUUUCUUUAUCUAAGCUGUUUGUGGGGUCUCUUUCUUCAGCAAAUCUUCCCUGUAGCAGGGCAGUGGUCUGCUAAAGGGGGAAAUGGCCUGUGAUCUUUGGCAGAUUUCACAUGUGCUCAUGAUACACAUGUCUAAAAGAGAGAAAUAAAGUUUGUAAUGCAUGGUCAAGUUUUUAAACUGACAUGUCCAGACAGGAUUGUACCUACAUUUAUUCUUCUUAUAAUCUUGUGUUGCUUUGAAGAGGAAGCACCUAGAAAGUUUCACCAACACUGGGAAAACGUCAUCCAUUCUUUUCCCAAUUGCUGCUGCUUCAGGAAGGAGUAGGGGCCCUUUCCUUUUCCAAGGGCAUGGAUCUGCACACAGUAAUGCUUUAAUGAAUUGGAUGAGGCUUUCCCCAAUCUUGUCAGUUUCACCAGAAUGCAGAGAACGGGAGAGUGAAGGACAUAGUGGUGGUGGAGAUCAGAAGUAUACCUUCGCGAGUGCCUCCAGGUCCUAACACAAAGCAGAGUAUGUCGGCAUCUACAUUAGGUAGGCACAGGAAGGCCCUCUCCCACUGUAGCUGCAGCAAGAAUGCUACUAUUUAAGUGGGAAAGCAUAACUUGUGAGCAAUGGUCAUGUGCAUUAACUGAAGCAAGAAAAGAUGCCUGAGUGAUAAUUUGUGUUUUGAAAGACAUUCCUGGCCCUGGUCUUAAAAGAUCUACAAAUGACUCCAUGGUUGUACCCAAGGAACAGAAAUCUGGGAUGAUGAAACAAUUGUUUUAAAUAAUGCCUUGCUGACUUUCAAAAUUUAUUGUUUUUUUCUGGCACUAAAAUAGGUUUAUCCUGGGAUCCAGGAAAUUUUUCUUUUAGCUCAUUGUUAUACAUGAAGUAAAAAAAAGAGAUUCUUAUAGCUUUGUAUCACAUCCAUUUGUUCUGUUGAGCACUGUGCCAUACAGCCAUUAUUCUGUUUGUCUUUGUGAAGUAGUAGCAAAUUUCUGCUUUACACAUGGGCAACCAAAUCUGACAGGGAGGUACCCCAAGACACUUAAUGAAUCCCUAGCUAACCUUCAGUUUGAAAUUUCCCAAGGUAGUGGCUCCAUCCAGUGGACUGCAUUGGCUCAUUGUUUAAAUACCUUUAUUUCCACAGCAAUGCUAACAAUUCAAGAACACUUGGGAAGAUUCUGCUAAAAGUGCAGACAGUGACAAAGAAAAGUAGUAUAUAAACAUGGAAGAUUUCUUUACAUAUAUGCCUCCCCCAGCUAUAUACAUGCAGAAGAAUAGAAAUGUAUACUUGCCUGAGCAGGUAUGUAGCACUAAGCUUCUCAAAACAUUGUAGGAUGCAUGCUGUCUACAUCUAAUUUUCUGACAUGUGUCUUCCAACUUUUGAUCCUGCCAUCACUCUGUCUGGCCUUGGUUGGCUAAGUCAUCAGCACAGCUGUUUUAGUUUACUGCAGAAGCCUGCUGAGAAAGGAAAGCAAUGCUGACAGCUGCUGGAAGAUGACUCGUCUUGAGUCGUCUUCUGUGUGUGUUUAUGCCUUAGCCCUCCAGCAGUGUUCUAGUGCACCUUAAAAUAUCUGUAAACAUCCCUGCGGUCCAUCUGGGUGGUUUUCUCAUUUUCCCAAGAAGCAAAGAGCUGAGCACGCAAAGGGGAACUUCCUAGACCGUGGGAUGUCUUGUGCUGUACCAACUAUCUGGUUGACAUUUCUUUUGAGGCUCAUGUUCCCCAACUUGAGUUAUUUAUUACUGAUAGCUGCGUGCCUUAACUGCUCCCAUGUUACUGUAUCAAGGCCUGGCUCAUUCAUGCAGGGUCAUCACUUGAUUACUUCAGGAUCAAAGAGCAGCACAAAGGUGUGAAUGAGCACACAGGACUUCUCAUGCUGCCUCAGAAGUCAUGUUUUCCAGAGGAGCUAGCCCACAUUCAGCUGCAAGUAACCAAGUGAUGUAUGCAAAUGUCUGAACCAACAAAGUAGGUUAGCUGUGUAGAAAAGGUUUAAUUUUGAAAUCAGUGACUCUGGAGACAGAAGUGGUGGGUGAGUUCUCUGAACAAAUGCGAUAGAGAAAUUGAGUGUUGGUGGUCCAGCCUAGCAGAUCUGUAGCCUGUGACUGUGAUUAGCAUCAUCUGUGUUCAAGUUAACUCAAUGAUGUUUUUUGAAAGGAGAAUGCCCUUGUGCAGCAUCACAGUUACUGUGAAUAAAUCCUCAUUUUGAGAGUACCUUCCAUUGGUACAUUUCCCAUUUUGGGGGUUCAUUGACUUACAUGCUUUUGUGCCAAAUGACUGAUGCAGGUUUGCUGAAUGAAGGUGUAAACCUGGCAUGAUGUAAGGCAUGCUUCCUAAAAGGCCUCUGGAAGGUGGUGAGGAACUGGCUGAACUUGGUUUCAAACAACUUACAGAACUAAACAAAAGAUACAGCAGUCUUACGUGAUGCAUCUGGAAAAGCUAAGAAAACCAGUCUUAUUUUUCCUAUUGUGUUUAAAAUUGUGAAGAGAUAAAUUUAAUGGGUUGUUACUUCAGUUUUGUUACAUUCUUAAACCAAUAAAUAUUUUUGCAACAUAA